rnacentral:lncRNA from 1 species
UCAAUUAUGGAGCUCCUCGAAGAAGAAUCAGAUCAAACAGACUUCAGAUGAAGGAGUUACGCAAUUUACAAAAUAGGUGAUCUUCAGUUUAUGCGAAUUUGGACCUAUGUGCAUUCAAUGAACAAUUCCGACCAGCCCAGAUGGAAUUAAGCCACAAGCCCAAUUGUUCUACAAUCAUGGUACAUCAGAGAAGCCCAUAAAAGUGGAUUCAGCCCAAAAAUAUCAAAGGAAGACUGAUUUUCGUCCAGAUUCAAAAUAGCAUUUAUUUAAAUGUGUUUAUCUCUCUUGCAUGCAGAAUAGAGUUUGAAUUUCAACUCUCAAGUGGUGCUUCAUGUUAGGAUACUUUUAUGGACGAAAAUUACUUGUAUUUCUCUAUAAAAAGAGCCCAAAAAUCAUGAAUAAGAAUAAGUUUGUUUUUCAGUGAAAACUAGAGAAGUUUCUCUCUUUCAAGAUGUGAUGUCUUGUAAUUUUUGGAACUCCAUGUUCAUGGUGUGUCAUAUCUAUGUUCAUGGCUGGUCUAGACGUAUCAUAGAUCCUUUCACAGAUCUUUGUGGCGUCUCUCAAUCCAUCUCUCUAUCCAUUCCUUGUUGGUGUGUCAUAUCCAGCAAGCUGUCAAUUUAUUUGGUGUGUAAUAUCUAGAGAAUCGAUCCACUGGUGAAUCAAAGGAAUUUCCGCAACCUUUGUUGUGCUAUUCAAUCCACAUCCUUUGAUCUUUGAGAUUUCACAGUCUCUAGGAUGCAAAGCUUAUCCCCUCACCACCUUAGAGUGCAUCAUCCUUGGGAGGUUUACAUUAUUUGGUAUCAAAGCAACACUCUAAGUCUGGUUUUAUCAUUCCAUAUGUCUAUCAUUUUCUCACCUAUUCAUCUUCUUUCAAUCAUCUUCUCAUCUUUCAUUCUCUAUUUCUUUUUUUUUUCUUUCUUUCUAUUUUUAUAAUUAUUUCGUCAGAGAGAAAGUGCUACUAGAUACUCUUCUUUUAUACGAACCAGAUUUGUGAGCAAAUCUUUUUUUUAAGAGGAAGGGAAUGAUAUGAUCAUGGGAAACAGUAAAGAUGUACGUUCAUUGUUUGACUCAUAUCUUCGAAACCACGAGGCUUCUACGCAUGAAAUCACUUGGAAAAUGUGCUCAACUCAAUUACGGAGCUCCUCGAAGAAAAAUCAGAUCAAACGGACUUCAGAUGAAGGAGUUACGCAAUUUACAAAACAGGUGAUCUUCAGUUUAUGCGAAUUUGGACCUAUGUGCAUUCAAUGAACAAUUCCGACCAGCCCAGAUGGAAUUAAGCCACAAGCCCAAUUUUUCUACAAUCUUGGUACAUCAGAGAAGUCCAUAAAAGUGGAUUCAGCCCAAAAAUAUCAAAAGAAGACUGAUUUUCGUCCAGAUUUAAAAUAGUAUUUAUUUAAGUGUGUUUCUCUCUUUCAUCUUUCAUUCUCUAUUUCUUUUUUUUUUCUUUCUUUCUAUUUUUAUAAUUAUUUCGUCAGAGAGAAAGUGCUACUAGAUACUCUUCUUUUAUACGAACCAGAUUUGUGAGCAAAUCUUUUUUUUAAGAGGAAGGGAAUGAUAUGAUCAUGGGAAACAGUAAAGAUGUACGUUCAUUGUUUGACUCAUAUCUUCGAAACCACGAGGCUUCUACGCAUGAAAUCACUUGGAAAAUGUGCUCAACUCAAUUACGGAGCUCCUCGAAGAAAAAUCAGAUCAAACGGACUUCAGAUGAAGGAGUUACGCAAUUUACAAAACAGGUGAUCUUCAGUUUAUGCGAAUUUGGACCUAUGUGCAUUCAAUGAACAAUUCCGACCAGCCCAGAUGGAAUUAAGCCACAAGCCCAAUUGUUCUACAAUCUUGGUACAUCAGAGAAGCCCAUAAAAGUGGAUUCAGCCCAAAAAUAUCAAAAGAAGACUGAUUUUCGUCCAGAUUUGUCUAGAUUCAAAAUAGCAUUUAUUUAAGUGUGUUUCUCUCUCUUGCAUGCAGAAUAGAGUUUGAAUUUCAACUCCCAAGUUGUGCUGCAUGUUAGGAUACUUUUAUGGACGAAAAUUACUUGUAUUUCUCUAUAAAAAGAGCCCAAAAAUCAUGAAUAAGAAUAAGUUUGUUUUUCAGUGAAAAUUAGAGAAGUUUCUCUCUUUCAAGAUGUGAUGUCUUGUAAUUUUUGGAACUCCAUGUUCAUGGUGUGCAUGGCCGGCCUUGAGGGGAAGCCAUCCAAGCCAAGGAUUAGGGCAUCCAAAUUAGUGGGGCA